rnacentral:rRNA from 1 species
AUUGAACGCUGGCGGCAGGCUAACACAUGCAAGUCGAACGAGCGGCGGACGGGUGAGUAAUAUAUAGGAACGUACCGAGUAAUGGGGGAUAACCACUCGAAAGAUUGGCUAAUACCGCAUAUUAUUAGAGCUGCCCAUAACUGAUUAGCUAGUUGGUGGGGUAAAGGCUGACCAAGGCGACGAUCCGUAGCGGGUCUGAGAGGAGGAUCCGCAACACGGGAACUGAGACACGGCCCAGACUACGACGGGAGGCAGCAGGGGGGAAUAGUGGACAAUGGGGGCAACCCUGAGGCAGCCAUGCGGCGUGUGUGAAGAAGGCCUUCGGGUUGUAAAGUACUUUCGUUGAGGAAGCGGUACUUAAAGAAGAAGCACCGGCUAACUACGUGCCAGCAGCCGCGGGAAUUC